GUAUUUUUGCGCGUUAUGCACAUAGACAUUCCAUUACAUUAAGAGUGUAUAAAAAGUACUCUGAGAGCCAGGUCAACAGAUGUCAACCAACUGCAAGUCAAACAAGUCGACAGGCGGACCCCAGAGUCAAAGGUGCACAGGUGUGUGGAUUUGCGGCCAACGUGCACAUGUGUUUCCACCAGCACAGAAGACCGACUUAUAAUUCAUUAAUGAUCCUUCCGCAGGUUCACCUACGGAAA
rnacentral:misc_RNA from 1 species